rnacentral:rRNA from 1 species
GACGAACGCUGGCGGCGCGCUUAACACAUGCAAGUCGAACGGAAAGGCCUGCUUUCCCUUGUGGAUUGCGGGUACUCGAGUGGCGAACGGGUGAGUAACACGUGAGUGAUCUGCCCCCAACUUGGGUAUAAGCCUGGGAAACUGGGUCUAAUUCCCGAUAGGACUGCAGGGUGGUGCCUGUGGUGGAAAACGAUUUUCUAGUGGUUGGGGAUGAGCUCGCGGCCUAUCAGCUUGUUGGUGGGGUAAUGGCCUACCAAGGCGGCGACGGGUAGCCGGCCUGAGAGGGUGGACGGCCACAUUGGGACUGAGAUACGGCCCAGACUCCUACGGGAGGCAGCAGUGGGGAAUAUUGCACAAUGCGCGGAAGCCUGAUGCAGCGACGCCGCGUGGGGGAUGACGGCCUUCGGGUUGUAAACUCCUUUCGACCGCGAGGAAGCCACCUGGUUGGAAGGGUGGUGACGGUAGUGGUAGAAGAAGCACCGGCUAACUACGUG